CGUGUAGGCGGUCAGGUAAGUUGGACGUGAAAGCUCCUGGCUCAACUAGGAGAGGUCGUUCAAAACUGCCUGGCUAGAGGGCGACAGAGGGAGGUGGAAUUCCCGGUGUAGUGGUGAAAUGCGUAGAUAUCGGGAGGAACACCAGUGGCGAAGGCGGCCUCCUGGGUCGCACCUGGCGCUCAGACGCGAAAGCUAGGGGAGCGAACG
rnacentral:rRNA from 1 species